CCUACGGGACGCAGCAGUGGGGAAUAUUGCACAAUGGGGGAAACCCUGAUGCAGCGACGCCGCGUGAGCGAUGAAGUAUUUCGGUAUGUAAAGCUCUAGCAGCAGGGAAGAAGAUGACGGUACCUGACUAAGAAGCCCCGGCUAACUACGGGCCAGCAGCCGCGGUAAUACGUCGGGGGCAAGCGUUAUCCGGAUUUACUGGGUGUAAAGGGAGCGUAGACGGCGAUGCAAGCCAGAUGUGAAAGCCCGGGGCUCAAACCCGGGACUGCAUUUGUAACUGUGUGGCUGGAGUGUCGGAGAGGCAGGCGGAAUUCCUAGUGUAGCGGUGGAAUGCGUAGAUAUUAGGAGGAACACCAGUGGCGAAGGCGGCCUGCUGGACGAUGACUGACGUUGAGGCUCGAAAGCGUGGGGAGCAAACCGGAUUAGAUACCCGAGUAGUC
rnacentral:rRNA from 1 species